rnacentral:rRNA from 1 species
GUAGGGAAUAUUGCACAAUGGAGGAAACUCUGAUGCAGCGACGCCGCGUGAGUGAUGAAGGCCUUCGGGUCGUAAAGCUCUGUCGCAGGGGAAUAACACAAUGAAGGUACCCUGUAAGAAAGGAUCGGCUAACUUCGUGCCAGCAGCCGCGGUAAGACGAGGGAUCCUAGCGUUGUUCGGAAUCAUUGGGCGUACAGCGGAUGUAGGUGGCUAUGUAAGUUAGAUGUGAAAGCCUGGGGCUCAACCCCAGAAGUGCAUUUGAUACUGCGUAGCUUGAGUGUCGGAGAGGUUACUAGAAUUGUUGGUGUAGUGGUGAAAUACGUAGAUAUCAACAGGAAUACCGGAGGCGAAGGCGGGUAACUGGCCGAACACUGACACUGAGAUCCGAAAGCGUGGGGAUCAAACAGGAUUAGAUACCCGAGUAGUCC